AAUGAACGUUGGCGGCGUGGAUUAGGCAUGCAAGUCGAACGCGAUAUGUAGCAAUACAUGGAGCGCGGCGAAAGGGAGAGUAAUACGUAGGUAUCUACCCUCGGGUCUGGGAUAGCAGCGGGAAACUGCUGGUAAUACCAGAUAACGUCUCCGGGCCAAAGGUGUGAUUCCACCUGAGGAGGAGCCUACGGCCUCUUAGCUAGUUGGUAGGGGAACGGCCUACCAAGGCAAAGUUGGGUAUGGGGUGUGAGAGCAUGCCCCCACUCACUGGGGCUGAGACACUGCCCGGACACCUACGGGUGGCUGCAGUCGAGAAUCUUCGGCAAUGGGCGAAAGCCUGACCGAGCGACGCCGCGUGCGGGAUGAAGGCCUGCGGGUUGUAAACCGGUGUCGGAGUUGAGGACAUGUAGGAGAGUUAUCUCUUUUACUUGACUAAUACUAGGAGGAAGGACCGGCUAACCUCGUGCCAGCCGCCGCAGUAAAAC
rnacentral:rRNA from 1 species